rnacentral:lncRNA from 1 species
GGGGUGAAGGCCCUAUUUAACUAUAUUUAUAAAAAGGGUGCCCAAAAUAACGACCGAUGGAACUGGUGUCCUAAAUACCUAAUUAAACGCGCAUUUUAAACAUGUGUAUAUGUCAAUUACGCAUCUCUGACAUGCGAGUGUCAGAAGUUUACCUGCAACUACACAACUCAACUGUACUUCGACGUAAUCCAAAAGAUGAUGCCUCUUCCCUUUCACUUCUUCUGUACUUUGAGCUCUGAGAGGCGGAAACCCCAACUUGAAACUUUCAAGACAGCUUCCUCCACAAAUGGUUUUACAUUUCCCUGCCGAACUCUUUUACAUAUAUAUUCCCAACUAUCGGCCGGAUGUGCAAAUACUUCAAACACGCCUACACCAUAUGCGUAUGCUAUUACUACUUUACUUCUGUUUGCACAAGUCGUUUCCAGCAAACCCAUCUACACCAUGUCCUUAUCUCAAUCCCCUUGAUCUGCAAUUUGUCGCCUGUAACUUUCCGCACAUCACUGUGACAAAGCCAACUUCCUCGCCGCGCGUAAACCAGUUCAACGACAUAAGCCAAAAU